rnacentral:rRNA from 1 species
GGAUUGCCCCAGUAACGGCGAGUGAAGCGGCAAAGGCCCAAAUUUGAAAUCGCGCCCCGUGCAGGGGAUCGAGUUGUAAUUUGCAGAGGGUGCUUCGGCGUUGGCGCCGGGUCAAGUCCCUUGGAACAGGGCGCCACUGAGGGUGAGAGCCCCGUAUCCGCCCGGACCGCCAUCUCCGCUGGAAGCCCCUUCGACGAGUCGGGCUGUUUGGGAAUGCAGCUCCAAGCGGGAGGUAAAUUCCUUCUAAGGCUAAACACCGGCCGGAGACCGAUAGCGCACAAGUAGAGUGAUCGAAAGAUGAAAAGCACUUUGGAAAGAGAGUCAAACAGCACGUGAAAUUGUUGAAAGGGAAGCUCUUGCCGCCAGACCGGCCGCGGUCGCGCAGCCGCGCUCCCAUGCGCGGUGAAUCCGUCCGCGGUAGGCCAGCGCCGGUUCGGGCGGUCGCAAAAAGGCUCGGGGAAUGUAGCCUCCUGCGGGGGGUGUUAUAGCCCCGGGUGCAAUGCGGCCAGCCCGGACCGAGGCACGCGUUCGCUAGGGCGCUGGCGUAAUGGCCGCAAGCGACCCGUCUUGAAACACGGACCAGUAAGUUAUGCAAUCACCUCCUCUCAUCGGCUUUGACGACGUACGUACGCUUGUCUGGCGGCGAUAGAACCGUCCAUGCGUCGUCAUUGUCCGGCGUUUCUUCCAAUGCGGUGAUCAUAUGCUAAUACAAGUCUUGCAGAGGAGUCUAACAUCUGUGCGAGUGUUUGGGCGAUGAAACCCAUGCGCGUAAUGAAAGUGAACGGAGGUGGGAACCCCCCCGGGGCGCACCAUCGACCGAUCCUGAUGUCUUCGGAUGGAUUUGAGUAAGAGCAUUUAUGUUGGGACCCGAAAGAUGGUGAACUAUGCUUGGAUAGGGUGAAGCCAGAGGAAACUCUGGUGGAGGCUCGCAGCGGUUCUGACGUGCAAAUCGAUCGUCGAAUCUGAGUAUAGGGGCGAAAGACCAAUCGAACCAUCUAGUAGCUGGUUCCUGCCGAAGUUUCCCUCAGGAUAGCAGUAACGACUUCAGUUUUAUGAGGUAGAGCGAAUGUUUAGGAGCCUUGGGGUUGAAACAACCUUAACUCAUUCACAAACUUCGAAUAUGUAAGAAGCCCUUGUUGCUUAGGUGAACGUGGGCCUUCGAAUGUACCGUUACUAGUGGGCCAUUUUUGGUAAGCAGAACUGGCGAUGCGGGAUGAACCGAAAGCGGGGUUAAGGUGCCGGAGUGGACGCUCAUCAGACACCACAAAAAGUGUUAGUUCAUCCUGACAGUAGGACGGUGGCCAUGGAAGUCGGAACCCGCUAAGGAUCGUGUAACAACUCACCUACCGAAUGAACUAGCCUUGAAAAUGGAUGGCGCUUAAGCGUCCCACCCACACCCCGCCGCCGGGGCGGAAGCGAAGCCCCGGCGAGUAGGCAGGCGCGGGGGUCCGGUGACGAAGCUCAGGGGGUGACCCCGGGCGGAACGGCCCCUGGUG